rnacentral:tRNA from 1 species
GUCCCUUUAACUCAAUGGUAGAGUAAGGACAUGGUAAAGCCUAAGUCCUCAGUUCAAAACUGAUCGGGGGCU